rnacentral:rRNA from 1 species
UACGUAGGGUGCAAGCGUUGUCCGGAAUUAUUGGGCGUAAAGAGCUCGUAGGCGGUUCGAUAAGUCGGACGUGAAAUCUCCACGCUCAACGUGGAGGGGCCGUUCGAUACUGUCGUGACUCGAGUCCGGUAGGGGAGUGUGGAAUUCCCGGUGUAGCAGUGAAAUGCGUAGAGAUCGGGAGGAACAUCAGUUGCGAAGGCGGCUCUCUGGACCAGCACUGACACUGAGGCACGAAAGCGUGGGGAGCAAACAGG